AGUGAACGCUGGCGGCAGGCCUAACACAUGCAAGUCGAACGGCAGCACAAGAGAGCUUGCUCUCUGGGUGGCGAGUGGCGGACGGGUGAGGAAUGCAUCGGAAUCUGCCCAUUUGUGGGGGAUAACCUCGGGAAACCGGGACUAAUACCGCAUACGACCUACGGGUGAAAGCAGGGGAUCUUCGGACCUUGCGCAGAUGGAUGAGCCGAUGCCGGAUUAGCUAGUUGGAGGGGUAAAGGCCCACCAAGGCGACGAUCCGUAGCUGGUCUGCGAGGAUGAUCAGCCACACUGGGACUGAGACACGGCCCAGACUCCUACGGGAGGCAGCAGUGGGGAAUAUUGGACAAUGGGCGCAAGCCUGAUCCAGCCAUGCCGCGUGUGUGAAGAAGGCCUUCGGGUUGUAAAGCACUUUUGUUGGGAAAGAAAAGCAGCCGGUUAAUACCCGGUUGUCAUGACGGUACCCAAAGAAUAAGCACCGGCUAACUUCGUG
rnacentral:rRNA from 1 species